AUCCUGGUUCGAUUAGAAUGACAAGGAAGCUGUUAUAUUCCCAAACAGGAAAACUGGGGAUCACCUGAUUUGAAAGUGGGGUAGCUUCUUUAUCCUAACUCCUAUGAGAUUUAUUCAACUUCCUAGUGAUUCUCCAUUACUUUAUGUAUCAAAAUCAAGCUUCUUACAUAGCGAUUCAUCCUGGUUUGAUUCGAAUGACAAGGAAGCUGUCAUAUUCCCAAACAGGAAAACUGGGAUCACCUGAUUUGAAAGUGGGAUAGCUUCUUCAUCCUAACUCCUAUGAGAUUUCUUCAACUUCCUAAUGGUUCUCAACUACUUUAUGUAUCAAAAUCAAGCUUCUUACAUCGCGAUUCAUCCUGGUUUGACUAGAAUGACAAAGUAGUUGUCAUAUUCCGAAACAGGAAAACUGGGGAUCACAUGACUUGAAAGUGGGAUUGCUUCUUCAUCCUAACUCCUAUGAGAUUUCUUCAACUUCCUAGUGAUUCUCCAUUACUUUAUGUAUCAAAAUCCAGCUUCUUACAUCGCGAUUCAUUCUGGUUUGAUUAGAAUGACAAUGAAGCUGUCAUAUUCCCAAACAGGAAAAGUGGGAUCACCUGAUUUGAAAGUGGGAUAGCUUCUUCAUCCUAACUCCUAUGAGAUUUAUUCAACUUCCUAGUGAUUCUCCAUUACUUUAUGUAUCAAAAUCAAGCUUCUUACAUCGCGAUUCAUCAUGGUUCGAUUAGAAUGACAAGGAAGCUGUUAUAUUCCCAAACAGGAAAUCUGAGAUCACCUGAUUUGAAAGUGGGAUAGCUUCUUCAUCCUAACUCCUAUGAGAUUUAUUCAACUUCCUAGUGAUUCUCCAUUACUUUAUGUGUCAAAAUCAAGCUUCUUACAUCGUGAUUCAUCUUGGUUUGAUUAGAAUGACAAGGAACCUGUUAUAUUCCCAAACAGGAAAACUGGGAUCACCUGAUUUAAAAGUGGGAUAGCUUCUUCAUCCUAACUCCUAUGAGAUUUAUUCAACUUCCUAAUGGUUCUCCACUACUUUAUGUAUCCAAUUCAAGCUUCUUACAUCAUGAUUCAUCCUGGUUUGAUUAGAAUGACAAAGAAGCUGUCAUAUUCCCAAACAGGAAAAUUGGGAUCACCUGAUUUGAAAGUGGGAUAGCUUCUUCAUCCUAACUCCUAUGAGAUUUAUUCAACUUCCUGGUGAUUCUCCACUACUUUAUGUAUCAAAAUCAAGCUUCUUACAUCGCGAUUCAUCCUGGUUUGAUUAGAAUGACAAAGAAGCUGUCAUAUUCCCAAACAGGAAAAUUGGGAUCACCUGAUUUGAAAGUGGGACAGCUUCUUCAUCCUAACUCCUAUGAGAUUUAUUCAACUUCCUAAUGAUUCUCCAUUACUUUAUGUAUCAAAAUUAAGCUUCUUACGUCGCGAUUCAUCCUGGUUUGAUUAGAAUGACAAGGAAGCUGUCAUAUUCCCAAACAGGAAAAAUGGGAUCACCUGAUUUGAAAGUGGGAUAGCUUCUUCAUCCUAACUCCUAUGAAAUUUAUUCAACUUCCUAGUGAUUCUCCAUUACUAUAUGUAUCAAAAUCAAGCUUCUUACAUCGCGAUUCAUCCUGUUUUGAUUAGAAUGACAAGGAAGGUGUCAUAUUCCCAAACAGGAAAACUGGGAUCACCUGAUUUGAAAGUGGGAUAGCUUCUUCAUCCUAACUCCUAUGAGAUUUAUUCAACUUCCUAGUGAUUCUCCAUUACUUUAUAUAACAAAAUCAAGCUUCUUACAUCGCGAUUCAUCCUGGUUUGAUUAGAAUGACAAAGAAGCUGUCAUAUUCCCAAACAGGAAAAGUGGGAUCACCUGAUUUGAAAGUGGGAUUGCUUCUUCAUCCUAACUCCUAUCAAAUUUAUUCAACUUCCUAGUGAUUCUCCAUUACUUUAUGUAUCAAAAUCAAGCUUCUUACAUCGCGAUUCAUCCUGGUUCGAUUAGAAUGACAAGGAAGCUGUUAUAUUCCCAAACAGGAAAACUAGGAUCACAUGAUUUGAAAGUGGGAUAGCUUCUUCAUCCUAACUCCUAUGAGAUUUAUUCAACUUCCUAGUGAUUCUCCAUUAUUUUAUGUAUCAAAAUCAAGAUUCUUACAUCGCGAUUCAUCCUGGUUUGAUUAGAAUAACAAGGAAGCUGUCAUAUUCCCAAACAGGAAAACUGGGAUCACCUGAUUUGAAAGUGGGAUAGCUUCUUCAUCCUAACUCCUAUGAGAUUUAUUUAACUUUCUAAUGGUUCUCCACUACUUUAUGUAUCCAUUUAAAGCUUCUUACAUCACGAUUCAUCCUGGUUUGAAUAGAAUGACAAAGAAGCUGUCAUAUUCCCAAACAAAAAAACUGGGAUCACCUGAUUUGAAAGUGGGAUAGCUUCUUCAUCCUAUCACUUUUAGUGAUGUUUAGAGUGAUCUGAGUAUUUAGGAAAGAUUAGAAGAGAUUUAGAGAAGAUUAAAGUAUAAAAUGAGAUUAAGAGUCUAAAGAAAGAACGAGAGAGAGACUAAGAGAGACUCAUAACUUGCUUGAUUUAUUAUUAUGGAGAGAUUACAUAUUUAUAUGGAUCAGCAUACAAGGGUUUUGUAAUAGUGAAAGCAAAUCCUAAAGACUAAGCAUGUGGAGUCAAACCAAGGAGAGGCGCGCUUCAUUUGAAUGAACGGAGGUGAGGCUUUACACGCUUGAUGCCAAAGGCAUCUUUGCCUAGAUGCUCCUUUUGCCUUUACAGCUAGCAACAGCUUAAGCCGCGUCCCAACCUUAUCCUUCAACGGUCAUAUCCUAAAGCCUCUUCCUCUUGUAGAGUCAUCGGCCACUUUAGGAUAGAUGUGAGCUUUGCCUUUCUUCCCAAGGUACCUGAGUUGUACGGCCUUUGCCCUAUCCGUACACUUCUCCUUAACUUCACACAACUACUCCUUUUCUUCCUUUGAUAUCUCUUCUCAUGUAAACCCUUGAUCCUUUC
rnacentral:lncRNA from 1 species